rnacentral:rRNA from 1 species
UACGGGGGGAGCAAGCGUUGUUCGGAUUUACUGGGCGUAAAGGGCGCGUAGGCGGCCAGCACAAGUCAGUUGUGAAAUCUCCGAGCUUAACUCGGAAAGGUCAACUGAUACUGUGCGACUAGAGUGCGGAAGGGGCAACUGGAAUUCCUGGUGUAGCGGUGGAAUGCGCAGAUAUCAGGAGGAACACCAAUAGCGAAGGCAGCUCGCUGGGACGGUACUGACGCUAAGGCGCGAAAGCGUGGGGAGCGAACAGG